rnacentral:lncRNA from 1 species
AUGACUUUGCUCUGAAUCUAAAUUCCUUUCGAACUUUGCAUGUCUUUCCCUUUUGGUAUGGAUCUGUCACGAUUGAGGAUGACCCCUUCGAACAAUUAACACAAGGUCAUGUUAGGAACAGGAGGGGAACCUCAUCCUAACAUGAGCCAAAUGAAAUUUCGAUUAUUGUAAGAUCGGAUCGGGGGAAGGCCCGUUUAACGGCUCUCGAAUGCCCCUUGAACCAUGUUAGGGACAGGAGGAGAACCUCGCCCUAACAUGAGCAAAGUCAAAGGCCCGGUUCUUUUAGACCGGAUGGGGGGAGAGGCCCUACAAUGCCCUAAUGUGCCCCCAC